AUUGAACGCUGGCGGCAUGCCUUACACAUGCAAGUCGAACGGCAGCACGGACUUCGGUCUGGUGGCGAGUGGCGAACGGGUGAGUAAUGUAUCGGAACGUACCUUUCAGUGGGGGAUAACGUAGCGAAAGUUACGUUAAUACCGCAUAUUCUGUGAGCAGGAAAGCAGGGGAUCGCAAGACCUUGCGCUGAUUGAGCGGCCGAUAUCAGAUUAGCUACUUGGUGGGGUAAAGGCCUACCAAGGCUACGAUCUGUAGCUGGUCUGAGAGGAUGAUCCGCCACACUGGAACUGAGACACGGUCCAGACUCCUACGGGAGGCAGCAGUGGGGAAUUUUGGACAAUGGGGGCAACCCUGAUCCAGCCAUGCCGCGUGAGUGAAGAAGGCCUUCGGGUUGUAAAGCCCUUUCGGCCGGGAAGAAAUCGCAUAGGUUAAUACCCUGUGUGGAUGACGGUACCGGAAUAAGAAGCACCGGCUAACUACGUGCCAGCAGCCGCGGUAAUACGUAGGGUGCGAGCGUUAAUCGGAAUUACUGGGCGUAAAGCGUGCGCAGGCGGUUUCGUAAGACAGAGGUGAAAUCCCCGGGCUCAACCUGGGAACUGCCUUUGUGACUGCGAGGCUAGAGUACGGCAGAGGGGGGUGGAAUUCCACGUGUAGCAGUGAAAUGCGUAGAGAUGUGGAGGAACACCGAUGGCGAAGGCAGCCCCCUGGGCCGAUACUGACGCUCAUGCACGAAAGCGUGGGUAGCAAAC
rnacentral:rRNA from 1 species